GGGAAAAUAACAGGAAAAAAAAUCAUUUCCAUGUCCCCUGCUGUGGCUCAGUGUAUGUAACCUUUGGUGGUCUCUUAAGAAAGCAGAGGUUCUGAAGUAUUUCUUUAAAAUUAAACAGUAAUCUCCAUGGAACAGAACUCGAAUUUAGAACUUUUCAAUCCCUAGAGAAAAUAAAAGAAAUAAAGAAAACUUGACCAAUGCAGCAAGAGUAACUAAAUGAGGGAAUAAAAGAAGAAACAACUAAAAAGAGAUAUAAUAAGUAGAAAACAUAAAUAAGCUAGUAAGAACAAGACCAAAUGCCAGUAAAUCACAGUAAAUGUAAACGGGUUAAAUUCUACUGCAGAGAAUU